AGCGAACGCUGGCGGCAGGCUUAACACAUGCAAGUCGAGCGGGCACUUCGGUGUCAGCGGCGGACGGGUGAGUAACACGUGGGAACGUACCCUUUGGUUCGGAAUAACGCUGGGAAACUAGCGCUAAUACCGGAUACGCCCUUUUGGGGAAAGGCUUGCUGCCGAAGGAUCGGCCCGCGUCUGAUUAGCUAGUUGGUGGGGUAAUGGCCUACCAAGGCGACGAUCAGUAGCUGGUCUGAGAGGAUGAUCAGCCACACUGGGACUGAGACACGGCCCAGACUCCUACGGGAGGCAGCAGUGGGGAAUAUUGGACAAUGGGCGCAAGCCUGAUCCAGCCAUGCCGCGUGAGUGAUGAAGGCCUUAGGGUUGUAAAGCUCUUUUGUCCGGGACGAUAAUGACGGUACCGGAAGAAUAAGCCCCGGCUAACUUCGUG
rnacentral:rRNA from 1 species